rnacentral:rRNA from 1 species
UACGUAGGGGGCUAGCGUUGUCCGGAAUCAUUGGGCGUAAAGCGCACGUAGGCGGCCCGAAAAGUCGGAUGUGAAAGCCCUGGGCUCAACCUAGGAAGUGCAUUCGAAACUGCCGGGCUUGAGUACGGGAGAGGGUUGCGGAAUUCCCGGUGUAGAGGUGAAAUGCGCAGAUAUCAGGAGGAACACCAAUUGCGAAGGCAGCUCGCUGGGACGUUACUGACGCUGAGACGCGAAAGCGUGGGGAGCAAACAGG